AAACGUUCCGUAUCAUAAAAUGGCAAAGAAUUCAACUGUGUUUUAGAUUUCUUCAAGGAAAGGGUAUCUAUAAACUAAAUGGGCUGUGGCAAGAAAUGAUUUAUCGAUGGGACAUUUGUAGAGUAACGAACGGAAGUCACAUCGAACAUUUGUGAUAAAGAAUCUGUAAAUACCCUGUAUUAAGCUGGCCAAACUGUGGUAAGUAAACCCGAGUUUCGCAACUCUGCCCAGUAAUAUUUGACAGUCCUAGUAGCAUUUGCCAAAUAAAAAUAUAUGACUUUUCAAGC